UUUUUGUUUAUUUUCUUCAUUUACAGAGCUACAUUCAUGGGAGCAGCCAGGCUCAGUUUGUGGCAGAGUCACACAUCAUUCUGGUACUGAAUGCUGCCAUCACCAUGGGGAUGGUUCUUCUAAAUGAAGCAGCAACUUCCAAAGGGGAUGUUGGGAAAAGAAGAAUAAUUUGCCUCGUGGGAUUAGGCCUGGUGGUCUUCUUCUUCAGUUUUCUACUUUCAAUAUUCCGUUCAAAGUAUCACGGCUAUCCAUACAGCUUUUUAAUUAAAUGAAGCCUAGUGGGAUUUGCAUAAAGUGAGUGUUUACUGUGAAGAGAAGCUGUUCCUCACAUUAUCUUCUUUGGAAUUCUUGAGUUCAUUCUUUGUUGAUUGUGAUACGCUAGCUUAUUCUUGUAUAAUUUUUUUAAACUGUGGGUUUUCCUAAAAAACUUAAUUUAUAGAAGUGCAUAUGUGACAUUCAGUAAUCCACAGUGGAACAUCCAAGUGUUUUUCCAGUAUUCUCAGUGUAUGCCACAGGAGUGAAAUGAAUGACAGUGUAACUAUGAAUUCAUGUUGUAGAACUGUGUUUGCUCAUUAGUAAAGAAAUCACAUGUUAGUAAAGGAAUCCAUGGAAUGUAUGUAAAAGAAUUAUUAGUACUGUACAGGAUAGAGCAUAUGCAUGAAAUAUGUCAUGUGGACAUUCUUACUGCUGUUUCACUUAUAAAGGACGUGCACUGUUACAAAGGUGUUUUGUUGUUCUUACUACAACUAGAUCAUGAUGAGUACAGGACAAAGAGCCGGGCAAAUGUUAAUGCCUAUUCAGAUCCUUAAACUAGAGAAAGAAGCUUUGGGGAACCCAGAACUCAAACAUGCACUAUGUCAUCUUGACUCAAAUGGAAUCAGGCACUAGAAGCAGCAUAUCAUGACUGUCAGUUACUAUUUGUCCAGCUCUUGAAGUGGCUUCCCAAAUUCUAAUUUAGGAGAUCAAGCCUAUUCUUGCUAUGGUCAUUAUCCUUUUGCCUUAUGAAUGCCCUGGGGAUCCGUAUGAAUGGCUAGAUUUCCUAGAAUGACUCAAAUGAUUUUUUUUUAUAAAUUCAAAUACAGGAGUGUUACCAUUGUUACCUUUGGAACUGACUUAAAUUUAUAUAUCACACCCGCAUAUAUUAUAUAUUUCUUUUAUCUUUUCAAUGGACAGAAAUAUGAGAAAUUUUCUGUGAAUUAUAGCUGAAAACCAAAAUAUAAGUUGUGCUUACAACCAAAUUUCCAAACGUGCAAGCCUAUUUUUUUUAACUCUGUACUACAUCUUAAAGAUGAAUUCAGGAGAGAUUUCUUUAUUUGGUUCCUAUGAAUUUCUACAACAGUGGGAAGUAUACAAGUUUAGUGGGCAUGUUUAUCCAGCUGUAUCCUGGGAGAAUUAUGUGUGUUUGUUAUCUUUUCAAAACAUGGUAAUAUUAUUUAAAAUUAUAAUUCAGAACAAUAUUAACAUUAUCAUAUAUUCUGAAGUCUAUUAAUAAGACAUAAUUUUCUUAGUUCAGUUCACAGACUUAAUAAAUUCAGUUGAGAUGCCAUUUAUGGACGAUGUCAGCAUAAUAUUUGGGUGCCUAUCCCUAGUUAUCACUUGAACAUAUCCAUCUAAUAUUUCUUACAGUCCCAAAACUUAAUUGACUCACAACCUCACAGAAUCCAAAUAGAAUUUAUUGCCUAACUUUACAAAUACUUUUUCUAAUUAAAUUUUAUUAUUCUCUCAAUUUCAAAAUAAUCUUCUAAUUAAUUAAAUUAUAUUAAUUAAAUGCAAUUAAUUAAAUGAUAUUGGCAAAACACGUCAAAGCUUGCUCUAAAGCAUAGUACUAUAUAUCCAGGACCACAGUCAGGUCACCCUCAGCUCAUGUGAUACAGGUUAGGAGAUAGUUAUUUCCUUAUCCUAUAUUAGUAAGAGUUUUUCCAGGCAAAAUUAGCAAUUUCCUCAAUAUCAAAAUUAAGUCAAUUAAUUACAGUUAUUUUUCAAGUGCCAUAACUCCAGCUGCAGGGGGAUCUGAUGCCUAGCACCUGCCCUUUUAUGCAGGUACUCUAACAAAGUUCAUUUUUUGUUAUGUGUCUAUGUUUAAGUUUUUUACUUGUUUCCUAACUUUUAAAAGUUACAGGUGGGACAAAAGAGAUGCCUCAGCAGUUAAGAGUGCUUACUACUCUUCCGGAGGACCCAGGUUUGGGUCCAAGCACCCAAGUUAGGUGACCUACAACCACCUAUAAGUCCAGUACCAAGGGUCUGUCACUUUUAAUGUAUAUUCACUAUAUUGAAAUUUUUCAUUAAAACUCAUUUGACAAUCCCUCACUAGAAUUUUAAAUUUUUUUAAAUUACUUUUCUUCUAUGAGAGAAAAAUCCCCUUUCAAGUAGUUUCAUUUUAUAAUGUCAUAUGCUGGCCAACUUGUUGCAUUUUCUUCAGCACAGUGCUCCUUUCAUUAUAUAUUCAAACAAAUAAAUCCAGUAAAGUGUACUAGCCAUGAAUUCCUUUUACAGGUAAAAUAUUUCUCAUCAGCUAUUAUUCAACAGGUCCUUUCCCUGUACAUGGAAUGACUCUAUAUAUAUAAAAGACCCUAAAGACUACCAGAAAACCUGUACAUACCACUGAUAAACACUUUCAGCAAAGCACCAUGAUACAGGCUUCAAUGAUAGAACAUGAAGUAACAAAUCUGUCACUGAUGUGGACAUUCAUCACUAUUACAUAACUCUCACAGUGCUGGAUGGUGCUUUUCACACUCCUAGAGGAGAAAAUGAUCAUCCUUCUUACCCAGCUGUGAAACCUGCAAACUACAAUAAAGACCAGACUAGCAACACACUAACACUGGGGUGAUAGUGGUAUGAAUAUCAUGGAAGUAACCAACCACUUUCUGGUUGAAUUUAAGGCCCACACCACCAAGAUGACACCCAUACUUGGCAGAGUUACUAGGGCCAAAAACGUGUGACUAGUAAAGUCAGAGCUCCUACGAUGGAUCUCCUAAGGGAUAUCCUAUGAUGAUUAUGAAACAUCCAAUGAAU